rnacentral:rRNA from 1 species
AUUGAACGCUGGCGGCAUGCCUUACACAUGCAAGUCGAACGGCAGCACGGGUGCUUGCACCUGGUGGCGAGUGGCGAACGGGUGAGUAAUACAUCGGAACAUGUCCUGUAGUGGGGGAUAGCCCGGCGAAAGCCGGAUUAAUACCGCAUACGAUCUACGGAUGAAAGCGGGGGCCCUUCGGGCCUCGCGCUAUAGGGUUGGCCGAUGGCUGAUUAGCUAGUUGGUGGGGUAAAGGCCUACCAAGGCGACGAUCAGUAGCUGGUCUGAGAGGACGACCAGCCACACUGGGACUGAGACACGGCCCAGACUCCUACGGGAGGCAGCAGUGGGGAAUUUUGGACAAUGGGCGAAAGCCUGAUCCAGCAAUGCCGCGUGUGUGAAGAAGGCCUUCGGGUUGUAAAGCACUUUUGUCCGGAAAGAAAUCCUUGGCCCUAAUACGGUCGGGGGAUGACGGUACCGGAAGAAUAGGCACCGGCUAACUACGUG